rnacentral:rRNA from 1 species
GAUGAACGCUGGCGGCGUGCCUAAUACAUGCAAGUCGAGCGAACGGACGAGAAGCUUGCCUCUCUGAUGUUAGCGGCGACGGGUGAGUAACACGUGGAUAACCUACCUAUAAGACUGGGAUAACUUCGGGAAACCGGAGCUAAUACCGGAUAAUAUUUUGAACCGCAUGGUUCAAAAGUGAAAGACGGUCUUGCUGUCACUUAUAGAUGGAUCCGCGCUGCAUUAGCUAGUUGGUAAGGUAACGGCUUACCAAGGCAACGAUGCAUAGCCGACCUGAGAGGGUGAUCGGCCACACUGGAACUGAGACACGGUCCAGACUCCUACGGGAGGCAGCAGUAGGGAAUCUUCCGCAAUGGGCGAAAGCCUGACGGAGCAACGCCGCGUGAGUGAUGAAGGUCUUCGGAUCGUAAAACUCUGUUAUUAGGGAAGAACAUAUGUGUAAGUAACUGUGCACAUCUUGACGGUACCUAAUCAGAAAGCCACGGCUAACUACGUG